UGCGUAGGCGGUUUGGUAAGUCAGAUGUGAAAUUCCUGGGCUCAACCGAGGAACUGCAUUUGAUACUGCCAGACUAGAGUACUGGAGAGGAGACUGGAAUUUACGGUGUAGCAGUGAAAUGCGUAGAUAUCGUAAGGAAGGCCAGUGGCGAAGGCGAGUCUCUGGACAGUAACUGACGCUGAGGCACGAAGGCUAGGGGAGCAAACG
rnacentral:rRNA from 1 species